rnacentral:tmRNA from 1 species
GGGGUCGUUACGGAUUCGACAGGCAUUAUGAGGCAUAUUUUGCGACUCGUGUGGCGACGUAAACGCUCAGUUAAAUAUAACUGCAAAAAAUAACACUUCUUACGCUCUAGCUGCCUAAAAACCAGCAGGCGUGACCCGAUUUGGAUUGCUCGUGUUCAAUGACAGGUCUUAUGAUUAGCGAGAUACGAUCAAGCCUUGUCUAGUGGUUUGAUAAGAGAUUAAUAGACUCGCAGUUCCUAGGCUUGAGUUAUG